CUGCCCGUAGCUCAGCUGGAUAGAGCAUCUGCCUUCUAAGCAGAGGGUCGCAGGUUCGAAUCCUGCCGGGCAGGCCA
rnacentral:tRNA from 1 species